rnacentral:rRNA from 1 species
UUGCUCUUCAACGAGGAAUCCCUAGUAAGCGCAAGCCAUCAGCUUGCGUUGAUUACGUCCCUGCCCUUUGUACACACCGCCCGUCGCUACUACCGAUUGAAUGGCUCAGUGAGGCGUUCGGACUGGCCCAGAGAGGUGGGCAACUACCACUCAGGGCCGGAAAGUUCUCCAAACUCGGUCAUUUAGAGGAAGUAAAAGUCGUAACAAGGUCUCCGUUGGUGAACCAGCGGAGGGAUCAUUAUCGAGUGUAAAAACUCACCAAACCCUGUGAACAUACCUUCUGUUGCUUCGGCGGGAUCGCCCCGGGCGCCCUCGUGUGCCCCGGACUCAGGCGCCCGCCGGAGGACCUAAACUCUUGUUUUUAUGAGAUUUUAUCUGAGUGGCUUUAUAGCAAAAAUGAAUCAAAACUUUCAACAACGGAUCUCUUGGUUCUGGCAUCGAUGAAGAACGCAGCGAAAUGCGAUAAGUAAUGUGAAUUGCAGAAUCCAGUGAAUCAUCGAAUCUUUGAACGCACAUUGCGCCCGCCAGUAUUCUGGCGGGCAUGCCUGUCUGAGCGUCAUUUCAACCCUCGCAACCAGCUUGCUGGAUGCGGUGUUGGGGAUCGGCCCCCCGUACUGGGAGGCCGUCCCUUAAAUAGAGUGGCGGUUGCGCUGUGACCUCCUCUGCGUAGUAGCAAUAUCUCGCAGGCGGAUAGCGGUGUAACCACGCCGUAAAACCCCCAACUCUUCUUUGGUUGACCUCAGAUCAGGUAGGAAUACCCGCUGAACUUAAGCAUAUCAAUAAGCGGAGGA